rnacentral:rRNA from 1 species
CCGGUGUCACGGGGCUAGCAUCCCCGCGCCCCGGCCGAAACCGAGACGCCAAGGAUGACCGCGCAACCGAUCGGUGGUGUUUUGUAUUCAACGUCUCCUAAUCGCUGGUCGGCAUCGUUUAUGGUUAAGACUACGACGGUAUCUGAUCGUCUUCGAUCCCCUAACUUUCGUUCUUGAUUAAUGAAAACAUCCUUGGCAGAUGCUUUCGCAGAAGUUAAUCUUUCAUAAAUCCAAGAAUUUCACCUCUGACAAUUAAAUAUUAAUGCCCCCAACUAUCCCUAUUAAUCAUUACCCUAGUCCUCGCGCUGCCAAAACCAACUGAAAAUAGGAGGACAGGGUCCUAUUCCAUUAUCCCAUGCUAAUGUAUUCGGUGGCAGAAAAUUGGAUCUGCCUGCUUUGAACACUCUAAUUUUUUCACGGUAAACGAUCUGGGCCAAAAAG